rnacentral:rRNA from 1 species
AUUGAACGCUGGCGGCAGGCCUAACACAUGCAAGUCGAGCGGAUGAAGGGAGCUUGCUCCUGGAUUCAGCGGCGGACGGGUGAGUAAUGCCUAGGAAUCUGCCUGGUAGUGGGGGAUAACGCCCGGAAACGGGCGCUAAUACCGCAUACGUCCUGAGGGUGAAAGUGGGGGAUCUUCGGACCUCACGCUAUCAGAUGAGCCUAGGUCGGAUUAGCUAGUUGGUGGGGUAAAGGCCUACCAAGGCGACGAUCCGUAACUGGUCUGAGAGGAUGAUCAGUCACACUGGAACGGAGACACGGUCCAGACUCCUACGGGAGGCAGCAGUGGGGAAUAUUGGACAAUGGGCGAAAGCCUGAUCCAGCCAUGCCGCGUGUGUGAAGAAGGUCUUCGGAUUGUAAAGCACUUUAAGUUGGGAGGAAGGGCAGUAAGUUAAUACCUUGCUGUUUUGACGUUACCAACAAAAUAAGCACCGGCUAACUUCGUG